rnacentral:misc_RNA from 1 species
GAUGAAGAACGCAGCGUAAUGCGAUAAGUAAUGUGAAUUGCAGAAUUCAGUGAAUCAUCGAGUUUUUGAACGCAUAUUGCGCCCUCUGGUAUUCCGGGGGGCAUGCCUGUUCGAGCGUCAUUAAAUAACCCUCAAGCAUAGCUUGGUGUUGGGCUUUUUUACGUCCUUGACUGGGAUGGGCCUAAAAAUUAGUGGCGAUGGCUUUUUUACUUUCAAGCGUAGUAAAUCUCGUCUUGCUAAAGAGGAAAAAGAUUUUUUUUCUGCCAAAAAUUUUAACAUUUAAAGUUGACCUCGGAUCAGGUAGGAUUACCCGCUGAACUUAAGCAUAUCAAUAAGCGGAGGA